rnacentral:lncRNA from 1 species
UGUGUUCCCCGUCUAACCUACGUUCUUCCGUAGGUGGGGUUCACUUUUUAGUAUAUCCCUCGUCUAACACUAUGUUUCCGUAGGUGAGGUUUACUCUUGCCCUUGGAUGGGAUACGCAUCCUGACUCUGUUACCAUUAAGACUUUCCCUACCCACGUUCUUCCGUAGGUAGAGUUAAUUUGGCGUCCUACUUUGUUACUGCGUCCAGUAAUAGUAAGAGUUCCAAUAUCUUUAUAUGGCUCAGUUCAUUUUGCUGCCGUAUCUCUGUCCGAGUUGUGGACUUCCACGAUUCCUCAGGAGCAUUUCUUGUUACACCCUCCUGUCUUGGUGUGCCUCCACAACUCUACCUUGUCUGGGUUCUUUUUUCUGCACCCCUUUUAUGUGGGAAGAAAAAGUCGAUCCCUUGUUAAAUUUGGUCGACUUUUGCUAAAUGUCGAUCCCUUGUUGUUUUUCCUCGACUUUUGCUAAAUGUCGAUCCCUUGUUGAGGUUGGUCGACUUUUGUCAAGAAGUCGAUUCCUGGUGUUUUUGGUCAAAAGUCGAUUCCUUGUGUAAAAAGUCGACUUUGCCAUUUUUGUCCUUUUGUGCUGUCCUAGGGUCUAUAAAUAGGACCCCUAGGUUCUCCUUUUCCUUCAUCCAUCCAUGGCUCUUCUUGUGAGUCUCUUUGCUGAUUUCAUUCAGGGAGAGAUUGAGGAGCUGGAUCGGAUUUUGAAUAUUUUGGAUCCUCGGUCGUCGACCUUGGAUCUUCCUUCUCUGCGCCAGCUUAUUGUCGAGCGGCAGAGUGUUGCUGUUACUGCUAGGGAGUCCAUUUUUGAAGAAUGGUCUGGUGGCGAUCUUCCGCCUGCCUCUUCUUCUGUUGUCCCUCCUCGUGGCCGACGUCGGAGGCGUCCCCGCCGCGGUGCUUCCUCGCUGGACCAGGUCCCUCGCCGUUUACGUCGCCGUAUCAAUUUUAAUUAAGAACCUGUAAUAUUUUUCAUUCAUCAUUUUGUACAUUUGAAUAAAUACAUUUUUACCUUUUCCUUGGCUCGAUUUACAUCUUUACUUUGAAGUACGUUAGUGUAACCGAUGUUUUCUUUUGGUCAAUACCAUAUUCUUUUGUCCUUUUCUGAAGAUGUCGAAUUUUUGAUAACAAGUCGAUCUCAUUUCUCCCUGGAAAUGUCGAUGUUGCCCAAAAAUGUCGAUCUCAUCUUUUUCUGAGGAUGUCGAUGACCGCUGAUCCUUUUCUAAAGAUGUCGGAUUUUUGAUAACAAGUCGAUCUCAUUUCUCCCUGGAAAUGUCGAUGUUGCCCAAAAAUGUCGAUCUCAUCUUUUUCUGAGGAUGUCGAUCAGUGUAGUGUGGAAUGUCGAUCCUGACCUUCUCUUUUGAAGGUAUCAAAUUCCUUGCAAAAUGUCGACGCCUAUCCCUUUUCUGGGAAUGUCGAACUCAAUUUUCUGCGGAAAUGUCGAUCCUGUCCUUCUCUUUUGAAGGCAUCGACUUCCUUGCCAAAUGUCGACGCCUAUCCCUUUUCUGGGAAUGUCGAACUCAAUUUUCUGCGGAAAUGUCGAU